AUGGAGCCUGACCAGAGUGGCACCGGGCAGACUUCUCCCCGCGGGAACGACUGGGAGGUCGUGCAGCUCACCGCUUCAAACUACGCUUCUGCACCUGGUCCGGCGAGAACUGAACCUUCCGACGAGGAGGCUGAAGGCCAGGUGUAUGACGCAGAGGGGGGUGAUUCCGCAGCCGCGUCGCUGCUCAUGUCUGGCCAUUUCUCGGUGCCGCAGAGUGAGGCUGAGAAACUCCUCAUGGAAGCUGAUACUAGCAUAUAUCAGCAGGAGGCGCGCGGCAGCCAGUAUGCAGUUUCUGACAAGGGUGGAGAUGGUAUGUACGAAGACCAGCAGGAGAAACUGAAGGACGACGGUCUUGACAGGAUCCCGUCCUUCGACAAAGGGAAAAGCCUUUCCCCUGUUGAUAUGGAGCCUGACGAUGGGAACGCAUUGCACAGCGUUAGUCAGGCUGGGGAAGACCCAGUUACAUUCUCAUCAUCUGGUUACAGUGCAACGGAGGCUGAGAAAGAAGUUACCGAGAGUGCCAAGGAGAAGACUGAAGAAAAUAUAACGCUCCAAAAUGUCGACCCUGUCACUGAUUCGUCCAAUGUUGUUGCUUCCGGUGAGGAGAGCAAGCCUGACGGUUCUGGAGCCCCACGCAAUGUGUGGUGGCAGAAGCAACUUAUAUCGCUCUACAGGAGCGCUAAAGAGAGCAACAAGCUCUGGCCUAUCGUUGUGGCUGCUGCCGCUUUGAUGGGGAUGGCAUAUUUCCGGCGGCGCUGGCAGAAGGGCAAGCUGCAGCUUCAGCAGGUCAAAUUGCAACCUGCCAGCAGCAAGGAGAGAAUCAACCAGGCCACCGUACCGCUUAACCGAAUCAAGGACAUUCUUGUCGCUGGCAACCACCCGAGUCCGGCUACUCAUGGAAAUGCUCGAUUGGGCUGA
rnacentral:rRNA from 1 species